rnacentral:rRNA from 1 species
AAUAGAUACCCAGGUAGUCCACGCCGUAAACGAUGAGUGCUAAGUGUUAGAGGGUUUCCGCCCUUUAGUGCUGCAGCUAACGCAUUAAGCACUCCGCCUGGGGAGUACGGUCGCAAGACUGAAACUCAAAGGAAUUGACGGGGGCCCGCACAAGCGGUGGAGCAUGUGGUUUAAUUCGAAGCAACGCGAAGAACCUUACCAGGUCUUGACAUCCUCUGACAACUCUAGAGAUAGAGCGUUCCCCUUCGGGGGACAGAGUGACAGGUGGUGCAUGGUUGUCGUCAGCUCGUGUCGUGAGAUGUUGGGUUAAGUCCCGCAACGAGCGCAACCCUUGAUCUUAGUUGCCAGCAUUUAGUUGGGCACUCUAAGGUGACUGCCGGUGACAAACCGGAGGAAGGUGGGGAUGACGUCAAAUCAUCAUGCCCCUUAUGACCUGGGCUACACACGUGCUACAAUGGAUGGUACAAAGGGCUGCAAGACCGCGAGGUCAAGCCAAUACCCAUAAAACCAUUCUCAGUUCGGAUUGUAGG